AGUCGAGCGGCAGCGCGGGGGCAACCCUGGCGGCGAGCGGCGAACGGGUGAGUAAUGCAUCGGAACGUGUCCUGGAGUGGGGGAUAACCCGGCGAAAGCCGGGCUAAUACCGCAUACGCUCUACGGAGGAAAGCGGGGGACCGCAAGGCCUCGCGCUCAAGGAGCGGCCGAUGUCCGAUUAGCUAGUUGGUGGGGUAAUGGCUUACCAAGGCGACGAUCGGUAGCUGGUCUGAGAGGAUGAUCAGCCACACUGGGACUGAGACACGGCCCAGACUCCUACGGGAGGCAGCAGUGGGGAAUUUUGGACAAUGGGGGCAACCCUGAUCCAGCCAUGCCGCGUGCGGGAAGAAGGCCUUCGGGUUGUAAACCGCUUUUAGUCGGGAAGAAAAGGUGCGGGCGAAUACCCUGCGCUCUUGACGGUACCGGCGGAAUAAGCACCGGCUAACUACGUGCCAGCAGCCGCGGUAAUACGUAGGGUGCGAGCGUUAAUCGGAAUUACUGGGCGUAAAGCGUGCGCAGGCGGUUCGUUAAGUCUGAUGUGAAAGCCCCGGGCUCAACCUGGGAACGGCAUUGGAGACUGGCGGGCUGGAGUGUGGCAGAGGGGGGUGGAAUUCCGCGUGUAGCAGUGAAAUGCGUAGAGAUGCGGAG
rnacentral:rRNA from 1 species